rnacentral:rRNA from 1 species
ACAACGGGGGAUUGCCUCAGUAGCGGCGAGUGAAGCGGCAAGAGCUCAGAUUUGAAAUCUCACCUAGUGUGCGAGUUGUAAAUUGCAGGUUGGAGUCUCGAGCCCCGUAGCGUGCAUGUCGACACCUGUGAGGCCCUUCUGACGAGUCGAGUUGUUUGGGAAUGCAGCUCUAAGUGGGUGGUAAAUUCCAUCUAAGGCUAAAUAUUGGCGAGAGACCGAUAGCGAACAAGUACUGUGAAGGAAAGAUGAAAAGCACUUUGAAAAGAGAGUGAAACAGCACGUGAAAUUGUUGAAAGGGAAGGGUAUUGGGCUCGACAUGGGAUUUACGCAUCGUUGCCUCUUGUGGGCGGCGCUCUGGGUUUUUCCUGGGCCAGCAUCGGUUUUCGUUGCAGGAUAAGGACAAUUGGAAUGUGGCUCCUCGGAGUGUUAUAGCCUUUUGUAGAUGCUGCGUAUGGGGACCGAGGGCUGCGGCGGACUUGUUUCGUCUCGGAUGCUGGCACAACGGCGCAAUACCGCCGCUGAAAAAAAGAAAAAAAAAAAAGGGGACGGAAACCCGGAC